UCCCUGGUGGCUCAGUUGGUAAAGAACCUGCCUGCAACGUAGGAGACCUGGGUUUGAUCCCUAGGUUGGGAA
rnacentral:tRNA from 1 species